rnacentral:misc_RNA from 1 species
AACCAUAGAAACCUGCGGAGUACCUGCGGAAGGAUCAUUACAGAGUUGCAAAACUCCCUAAACCUUUGUGAACGUUACCUAAACCGUUGCUUCGGCGGGCGGCCCGGGUCCUUCCCGGCGCCCCUCGGCCCUCGCGGGCGCCCGCCGGAGGUAAACCAAACUAUUGCAUUGUAUGGCCUCUCUGAGUCUUCUGUACUGAAUAAGUCAAAACUUUUAACAAUGGAUCUCAGAUCGGAAGAG